GUCUGGUUCAGGAAGCGGCCCCGGCGGCUGCGUGUGUCGUAGAGCAACGCCCCUCCGGACCAGUCAAAGGCCCCGACGGCGCCGAGCAGCACCUGCCGCUGAAGGGGACGGGGAUGGGGCCCAGAUGAGUGGGAGGGACCCAAGGCCGGGCCACGGUGGCCGCGGGUCUCCGGGCCAGCGCGGCUAACCUGGCUGGGAGCAGGGGGGCGUUCGGUGGUCUAGUGCCCGCCUGGCCAGAGAUGCAGGCGGGAAGGUGAGAUGGCCAACACUGGGCUCCUGCCUCGUGCCCUUGCACUCCCUCCUCCGGGAGAAGCAAGCAGCUUGGUUGAUAAGCUGACCCAGGCCGAGUCCUGUUGCCUGGUCUGUAUUCAGGGGAACAACUGGAUGUUUGAGCACACAGAAAAAAGCGACCUCCUGUCAUCAAUAUGGCCACCCUUUUGUUGCAGUGAGCCGAGACUGCACCGCUGCACUCCAGACUGGGCGACAGAGCAAGACUCCGUCUCAAAAUAAAUAAAUAAAUUAAUUAAUUAAAAUAAAAUCGCUCUUUUACAGGAAUCACCACAGGUAGGGCAGAGCCCUGGAUGGGAGGCAGGAGUCCCUGAAUCCUAGGUGUCCUGGGCCCCUCACCAAUGGGCAAGCCUGCCUGGUGCUGAGUCAGCCACGUACCUCAUCCAGGAUCUGAGCACUGAAGCCAAUCUGUGCCAGCUGGUAGUGAAGGGCGUCUCCAACCGUGCCUGCAAGCCAAGAAGCCCAGUGAGACUGCUGUGGGCCGAGGUGAAGGGAGAAACUGAGUCAGGGGACAGUCCAGCUUGGCCUCACUCCCAGAAGGAACCAUGCUUGGUGUAACAGGAAGAGAACCCGGCUGAGGGUAGAGACCCAGGUUCUCCUUGAGCAACUACUAUCUGGGCAGUUCACUCUUUCUAGGCCUCAGUUUCCUCGUCUGUGAGCUCCUGGGAGAAGGGACUAUGCCCCAGCCAUCCUUGUUUCUCCAGCACCAGCUCAGUUCAUCAGAGCUUCAUGGAGAUUCUGGGACGCAAGGAGGCCUGGGGAUAUUGUUGGCCUUUUUUUUUUUUUUUUUUUUUUUUUUUGAGACAGUGUCUCACUCUGUUGCUCAGGCUGGAGUGCCAUGGCUCAAUAUCAGCUCACUGCAACUUGUGCCUCCCAAGGUCAAGUGACCUGGUGCCUUAGCUUCCCAAGUAGCUGGGAAUAGAGGUCAUGCGCCACCACGCCUGGCUAAUUUUUUUUUUUUUUUUUUUGAGAUGGAGCCUCGCUCUGUCACCCAUCCUGGAGUGCAGUGGCGCGAUCUUGGCUCACUGCAACCUCUGCCUCCUGGGUUCGAGUGAUUCUUCUGUCUCGGGCUCCUGAGUAGCUGGGAUCACAGGCAUGCACCACCACGCCUGGCUACAUUUUUUUGUAUUUUUAGUAGAAACAGGAUUUCACCAUGUUGGCCAGGCUGGUCUUGAACUCCAGACCUCAGGUGAUCCACCGGCCUUGGCCUCCCAGAGUGUUGGGAUUAUGGGCGUGAGCCACCACACCUGGCCCCAGCUACUUUUUGUUUUAGUAGAGAUGGGGUUUUGCCAUGUUGCCCAGGCGGGUCUCAAACUCCUGGCCUCAAGCAAUCCACCUGCCUCUGUCUCCCAAAGUGUUGGGAUAACAGGCAUGAGCCACCACACCCGGCCAUUGCCUUUUUAGACAUGGAAGAGCUGAGGUUCAGGGAGAUGAUGGGAGUUGCUCAGAGAAACCACAUGAAGAUGGGACAGAGGCCGGGCUGGAGCAUAGGCUCGGGCCUCCUGCGGUGGCCUGGGUCCCGGAGCCCUCACCUUCCAUGCUGAUGAUGUUGUACCGCAGUUUGCUCAGCAGCCCAUCCAGCGCCAUGUAGUUGGUCACCUUGAAAGCAUGGGUCUCAUCCGGGUCUGAGGCGAUCAGGUUCAGUUCCCUCGCAGUCCUAGCACUCUUAAAUUCUUCUCCCACCUGCACAGACAGCCUGGGUCAGCGAGUCAGCGCUGCGUGGAUUCCCCAGGCCCAGGGAGAGAGCUGAGCCCCUCCAUCUGGCCUCUGGGGCCCUCCAUUACCUGUCUCCUUCCUUCCUUUCUCCUCCUUUCCCUGCUCCCUGUUCUACCCAUACUCUGGGCAAAAUUCCAGUUUUACCAAAGUACACCUGUUCUCCUGAAUACACCAAGCUCCUCCUCACCUCUGCACAUGCUGUUCCCUCUGCCUGCAGGGCCCCUCUCUGCCUCCCCUGUGCCCUAGGCCAGCUACUCCCAUUUGUCUGGCAGGACUCAGCUUGGCACCGCGGUCCUCCAGGAACCCUCCUUGGUGUGUUUCCUGUGGCUCUCCCACCACUAUUUGGCCAGUAAGCUGUGACCACCAUGGGGAAAUGAGCCCUCUCUGGGAUGACAGAGCAUGGAGAGAAGAGGAGCAUUUGCAAAUAGAACAGGGUCUGGAUAAGCUGCUUACAGAAAAGCCCCCAUCGACAACCCUGGCUUCUCCCCACCCCAGGCUGUGCAGGUUCAGGAGGUGUCUCCCGGCUCCUGGCUCUUACCCCAAUGGCAAAGCGCUCAACACCCUGCAUUUUGGGGGAGUUGAUGACUGUCGUAAGGUUGAGGGGGUCCUCGAAUAUGCCACCAUCGGUGAGCACCACCAUGACCUUGGAUGCCUUUCUCCUGGAGCCGUGGCUUGAGGUGAAGAUGCUGUCUCUAAGCAGGGGAGAGUAAAUGAAGAAGAGAGCUUUGCCAGAAGGAUGACCGAGCUCCAGGAGAGACUUUAUUCUCUGACCUGUAUUAGAAUUGGGAGGGUUCACAAUCCUCCCGAAAGACCCAGAGAAGGGGGUGAUGCCCCCUUAAGUCACGCAGCGAGGCUGGGCAGAGGGAGGGCUGCAACACAGGUGUUCUUGCUUCUCACCUGCUCCCAGCAGGAAGGUACUGCCUGGCAGUCCAUUCCUCUUGUGUGCGUACAGGAAGACUCAUGAUAUUAAAACGAUAGAUAAUACUCACAUGGCACUUAUCAUGUGCCAGGCACUGUUGUAAACACUGUAUAUUUUAAGCCAUCCAACCAUCACAAAAUCUAUCAGGCAAGUGCUAUUAUUUUUCUUUCUUUUUUAGAGACGGCGUCUCACUCUGUCACCCAGGCUGGAGUGCAGUGGUGUGAUCAUGGCUCACUGCAUCCUUGAACUUCUGGGCUCAAGCAAUCCUCCUGCCUCAGCUUCCUGAGUAGCUGGAACUAUAGGC
rnacentral:lncRNA from 10 species